rnacentral:rRNA from 1 species
GUACGGGGGGGAGCAAGCGUUUGUUCGGAUUUACUGGGCGUAAAGGGCGCGUAGGCGGCCACCGCAAGUCGACUGUGAAAAUCUCCGGGCUUAACCCGGAAAGGUCAGCCGAUACUGCGGGGCUAGAGUGCAGAAGGGGCAACUGGAAUUCUCGGUGUAGCGGUGAAAUGCGUAGAUAUCGAGAGGAACACCUGCGGCGAAGGCGGGUUGCUGGGCUGACACUGACGCUGAGGCGCGAAAGCUAGGGGAGCGAACGGG